UUAGGUAAAACCUUAUCAAAAAUUCCUUCUUCUCCCAGACCCCAACCCACCAAAGAAAAACCUCAUUUUCUCUCCUCUUUCAAAUGGCCGAUCAGCUCAACAAUUACCGGGUCUCAGUGUUUAAAGAAGGCCUUAUGCCUCUUCGAUAAGGACUUUGAUGGUUAAGCCUUGAAGUACAUUAUACUUUCUCUAUACAUACAU
rnacentral:lncRNA from 1 species